rnacentral:lncRNA from 1 species
AACAUAUUAUUGUCUAUGUAUCAUAAGUGUAGAAAGGAUUUUUAUCUAUAGGUCUUCCACCGAUUUCAUUCUUAUCAACUUAUCUAUGAUUUCAUCUUGUGAUAUAUGGAUACCUAGUCUAGGGAUAUGUCAUUGUCUUCGGUCUUCGACUUGUCUAUGGGCUUCCAAAAGACGACGUACCAUCGUUUCUGCUGUCGUUAAACGGAGACUAUUUCUGAAGAGCUUGCUGCGAGAUAAAUCCUUGGAUUAGAUGGACCUUGCUACUUAGAGAUGUAACAUUUCUGGUAGUCAGUUUAAUUUGUUAAUUUCAAGAAUGCACCUAAUGAGCUGGUCGCAAAAUUCAUAGGACUCAAGAUGUUAAUAAUGGUUCCAUUAAAACUUUAUCAAUGAAUAUGGAUAGGGUAAAUCAAAAAGCUUGGAAAGAGACCAUUUAUGGAAAAGACUGUAUUCCUGAUUUGAUAUUUUGGAAUUUUGGUCUUCACCUUGCAACAUUCUGCAGUUAAUUUUUGCUGUAACAAUGGGAGGCAAUGAGAAGUUAAUUUGGAAGCAACUGAAACAACAAACUGUCUGCAGUUAUAUCUUCUGGUAGACUUCAGAACGUUACUUUCUACAAUUAAUUAAGGUUAUCCAACAUACGAGAGAGAGUUAAACUUCAAUUUGGUCAUACUGAAACAGUCAAUGUCUGCUUGGGUGUUGUUUUUCGUGGGCUGUAUUCUUGAUUCGCUGUUUUCGCCUUCGCCUUGCAACAUUAUGCAGUUAAUUUUCAACUGAUGAGUGAAAGCAACUGGACAUUUAUUUGAAUUCCACUGAAAUAAAGAAUUUUCUGCUACGGUAUUCUUCCUGGAAUUGGAUUGCUUUUUCCACCUGCAAACUUUGGAACAUUACAGUCUACAGCUAAUUAAGAUCGACGUUGGAGAAGACAAAGAUGACCCCGUAGUUAA